GACGGAGGAUGCAAGUGUUAUCCGGAAUCACUGGGCGUAAAGCGUCUGUAGGUGGUUCAAUAAGUCAACUGUUAAAUCUUGAGGCUCAACUUCAAAAUCGCAGUCGAAACUAUUAAACUAGAGUAUAGUAGGGGUAAAGGGAAUUUCCAGUGGAGCGGUGAAAUGCGUAGAGAUUGGAAAGAACACCGAUGGCGAAGGCACUUUACUGGGCUAUUACUAACACUCAGAGACGAAAGCUAGGGUAGCAAAUGGG
rnacentral:rRNA from 1 species